AACUUUCGACCUCAAAUCAGGUAGGACUACCCGCUGAACUUAAGCAUAUCAAUAAGCGGAGGAAAAGAAACCAACCGGGAUUGCCUCAGUAACGGCGAGUGAAGCGGCAAAAGCUCAAAUUUGAAAUCUGGCCUCUUUCGGGGUCCGAGUUGUAAUUUGAAGAAGCGACUCUGGUACCGGCCCUUGUCUAUGUUCCUUGGAACAGGACGUCACAGAGGGUGAGAAUCCCGUGCGAUGAGGGCGCCGGGUACCAUGUAGAGCGUUUUCGACGAGUCGAGUUGUUUGGGAAUGCAGCUCUAAGUGGGUGGUAAAUUCCAUCUAAAGCUAAAUAUUGGCGAGAGACCGAUAGCGAACAAGUACAGUGAUGGAAAGAUGAAAAGAACUUUGAAAAGAGAGUGAAAAAGUACGUGAAAUUGUUGAAAGGGAAGGGCUUGAGAUCAGACAUUGUAUUUCCAUGGCUUUCUUUCGGGGGAGUCCUCUGGGUUUACAGGGCCAGCAUGGGUUCUGCGGGCAAGACGAGGGUUCCAGGAAUGUGACUCCACUGCGGUGGAGAGUUAUAGCCUGGAGACACCGGUUGCCACGCGGGACUGAGGACUGCGGUAUCUAGGAUGCUGGCAUAAUGAUCUUAAGCCGCCCGUCUUGAAACACGGACCAAGGAGUCUAACGUCUAUGCGAGUGUUUGGGUGU
rnacentral:rRNA from 1 species